GGGAUUGUGGCUCAGUGGUAGAGUGCUCGCCUAGCAUGUGUGAGGCCCUGGGUUCUAUCCUCAGCACCA
rnacentral:tRNA from 1 species